GUAGGGGUGCGAGCGUUAAUCGGAAUUACUGGGCGUAAAGCGUGCGCAGGGUGGUUUUGUAAGUCAGAUGUGAAAUCCCCGGGGCUUAACCUGGGAACUGCGUUUGAAACUGCAAGGCUAGAGUGUGGCAGAGGGGGGUGGAAUUCCGCGUGUAGCAGUGAAAUGCGUAGAGAUGUGGAGGAACACCGAUGGCGAAGGCAGCCCCCUGGGUCAACACUGACGCUCAGGCACGAAAGCAUGGGGAGCAAACAGGAUUAGAUACCCUGGUAGUCCAUGCCCUAAACGAUGUCAACUAGUUGUCGGGUCUUAACGGGCUUGGUAACGUAGCUAACGCGUGAAGUUGACCGCCUGGGGAGUACGAUCGCAAAGAUUA
rnacentral:rRNA from 1 species